rnacentral:lncRNA from 1 species
UUUUUUUGUUCGGGAAAACUUUAAAUACCCCCACGUGGUUUCACUUUUUCUCACUUGAGUGCCCUGUGGUUUAAAGUGUAUCAAGUUAGUAUCCUGUGGUUUUGCACUUUUUCACUUUAGUAUAUUGUUUUCACUUUAGUAUCCUGUGGUUUAAAGUGUAUCAAAUUAAUACCCUGUGGUUUCGCACUUUAUCAGUUUAGUACCCUGUGGUUUCGUACUUUAUCACUUUAGUAUCCUGUGGUUUAAAAACCACAAGGUACUAACUUGAUACAAAAAUAAAACCACAGAAUACUAACUUGAUGCAAAAAUAAAAUUAUACAGUGCUAACUUGAUACACUUUAAACCACAAGGUACUAAAGUGAUAAAGUGAGAAACCACAGAGUACUAACUUGAUACACUUUAAACCAAAGGGUACUAAAAUAAAAAGUAUGAAACUAUACGGGGGUUUUUGAAGUUUUUGUUGUUGUUGUUGUUGUUCUCAGUGUUGA